GACGAACGCUGGCGGCGUGCUUAACACAUGCAAGUCGAACGGAAAGGCCUGCUUUCCCUUGUGGUUUGCGGGUACGCGAGUGGCGAACGGAUGAGUAACGCGUGAGUGAUCUACCCCCGACUUAGGUAUAAGCCCGGGAAACUGGGUCUAAUUACAGCUAGGACCGCAGGGUGGUGGCUGUGGUGGAACAAGAGCAUCAAGCGAAUGGGGAUGCGCGCGCGGCCUAUCAGCUUGUUGGGGGGGUAAUCGCCUAGCAAGGCGGCGACGGGCAGCCGGCCGGGGAGGGUGGACGUGCGCAUUGGGACUGAGGCACGGCCCAGAGUCCGACGGGAGGCGGGAGUGGUGAGUAUUGGACGAUGGGCGGAAGGCUGAUGCAGCCGUGCCGCGUGGGGGUUGUCGGCCUUCGGGUUGUAAUCUGCUUUCGAGAGCGAGGAAGCCACCUGGUUGGACGGGUGGUGACGGUAGUUGUAGAGGAAGCACCGGCUAACUACGUG
rnacentral:rRNA from 1 species